UUCUGCCUGGUCAGUGGGGCCUGGAGGUGCCAUUUCUGGAAUUUACCACAAAAGGAAGAGCCUUGCUCCAGCAGAGCUGCGUGUGGGGGAAGAAGAGUGUCCAGUAAAUGCCACAGAUGGAUUGUGGAAAGCUGAUCAGAGUGGCUGUAAUAGGAAUGACUGGUUAUCUGAAUGGAGUCCAGCUCAAAUAACCAAAAAAACAGAUCUGAGGCAAAUUCCAGCUAAAUCAGGCCCAGGGGAAAAUGGAGACUUUCUCAGGGUGGCUGGUCCACAGAAGAACUCCCAAGUCAAAGGUCGACAGUGACGGUGUCCCCGUCGGUCUGGAAGGUGACCGUGGCGUGACGGACCGUGAACACCAUCUGGGGCUGCUGUGUGGCCUCCUUCACCUGCAGAGGAAUAAGCGGAAAUUUCAGACGGGUUCCUUGACUCCUGCCGGCUAUCUACGUGAACAGGUGAGU